AUAAAGGUCAGAACGUGACACCGGCAGGAUGCAGAGGUAGUCUGUAGGGAUGUUGGCUGUGGGGCUCCUGCAGCUCUACAGGGGGGGCUCUAUGGAGAAGGUGAGGGUCAGACCUGGGAUAAAGAGUUCCAGUGUCAAGGCAAAGAGUCCCGUCUCCUGGACUGUGACACCUCAGACAGAGAGAACAACACCUGCCUACCUGGUAAUGCUGUUGGACUCACCUGCUCAGAGCCUGAUGAUGUGAGGCUGGUGGGAGGAGGCAGUCGCUAUGCUGUCGACCAGGGAGAUGGAGGACGGUGGGAGCUGACGACUGGGGCUUGGCCAGGACGCCUGCAGCUGCAGUAGUGUGUAGACAGCUGUGUUGUUUAGUGGUACGACCAGGACAGUGGCCAGGACGCCUGCAGCUGCAGUAGUGUGUAGACAGCUGUGCUGUUUAGUGGUACGACCAGGACAGUGGGAGCUGACGACUGGGGCCUGGCCAGGACGCCUGCAACUGCAGUAGUGUGUAGACAGCUGUGCUGUGGCUCCACUGUUUCAGAACUACUUGGAAACAUCACUACAUGGUUUGGAGUUUACUGUUAUGGGAUCUGAACCUUCACUGAGGAAAUGUUGAAGAACACCUGAACUCCUUCGGUGGACUCACAGUGAUCUGCUCAGUGACUGUAGGCCCACUAGACCACCAGGAGGCAGAAGAGAGUGAACAGGGUGAGCAGCAUGGAUCUUUAUGUCAAUGCCAUGGAGAUGGUCUCUCUGAGCUCCAGAGCUGAAGCUGGACCGGGAGAGGAGAGAGCAGCCCAGGGGACGGAGUAGGAUGAAGCUGACCCUACAUGCUGAU